AUUGAACGCUGGCGGCAUGCUUUACACAUGCAAGUCGAGCGGUAACACAGAGGAGCUUGCUCCUUGGGUGACGAGCGGCGGACGGGUGAGUAAUGCCUGGGGAUCUGCCCGAUAGAGGGGGAUAACUACGGGAAACUGUAGCUAAUACCGCAUAAUGUCUACGGACCAAAGUGGGGGCUCUUCGGACCUCAUGCUAUCGGAUGAACCCAGGUGGGAUUAGCUAGUUGGGGAGGUAAUGGCUCACCAAGGCGCCGAUCUCUAACUGGUUUGAGAGAAUGACCAGUCACACUGGAACUGAGACACGGUCCAGACUCCUACGGGAGGCAGCAGUGGGGAAUAUUGCACAAUGGGCGCAAGCCUGAUGCAGCCAUGCCGCGUGUGUGAAGAUGGCCUUCGGGUUGUAAAGCACUUUCAGCGGGGAGGAAGGGCUACUAGUUAAUACCUAGUGGCAUUGACGUUACUCGCAGAAGAAGCACCGGCUAACUCCGUGCCAGCAGCCGCAGUAAAAC
rnacentral:rRNA from 1 species